rnacentral:rRNA from 1 species
AACGAACGCUGGCGGCAUGCCUAACACAUGCAAGUCGAACGAGACCUUCGGGUCUAGUGGCGCACGGGUGCGUAACGCGUGGGAACCUGCCUUUAGGUUCGGAAUAACUCAGAGAAAUUUGAGCUAAUACCGGAUAAUGUCUUCGGACCAAAGAUUUAUCGCCUUUAGAUGGGCCCGCGUAAGAUUAGCUAGUUGGUGGGGUAAAGGCCUACCAAGGCGACGAUCUUUAGCUGGUCUGAGAGGAUGAUCAGCCACACUGGGACUGAGACACGGCCCAGACUCCUACGGGAGGCAGCAGUGGGGAAUAUUGGACAAUGGGCGAAAGCCUGAUCCAGCAAUGCCGCGUGAGUGAUGAAGGCCUUAGGGGUUGUAAAGCUCUUUUACCCGAGAUGAUAAUGACAGUAUCGGGAGAAUAAGCUCCGGCUAACUCCGUGCCAGCAGCCGCGGUAAU